GACGAACGCUGGCGGCGUGCUUAACACAUGCAAGUCGAACGGAAAGGCCCUGCUUUUGUGGGGUGCUCGAGUGGCGAACGGGUGCGUAACACGUGAGUAACCUGCCCUUGACUUUGGGAUAACUUCAGGAAACUGGGGCUAAUACCGGAUAGGAGCUCCUGCUGCAUGGUGGGGGUUGGAAAGUUUCGGCGGUUGGGGAUGGACUCGCGGCUUAUCAGCUUGUUGGUGGGGUAGUGGCUUACCAAGGCUUUGACGGGUAGCCGGCCUGAGAGGGUGACCGGCCACAUGGGGCCUGAGAGACGGCCCAGACUCCUACGGGAGGCAGCGGUGGGGAAUAUUGCACAGUGGGCGGAAGCGUGAUGCAGCAACGCCGCGUGCGGGAUGACGGCCUUCGGGUUGUAAACCGCUUUCGCCUGUGACGAAGCGUGAGUGACGGUAAUGGGUAAAGAAGCACCGGCGAACUACGU
rnacentral:rRNA from 1 species